AUAUCAAUAAGCGGAGGAAAAGAAACUAACAAGGAUUCCCCUAGUAACUGCGAGUGAAGAGGGAAAAGCUCAAAUUUAAAAUCUGAUAGUCUUUGGCUGUCCGAGUUGUAAAUUAGAGAAGUGUUAUCCGCUCAAGCCUGUGCAAAAGUCUCUUGGAAAAGGGCAUCAUAGAGGGUGACAAUCCCGUCUUUGGCACAGAUCACUUGCGCUUUUGUGAUGCGCUCUCGAUGAGUCGAGUUGUUUGGGAAUGCAGCUCCAAAUGGGUGGUAAAUUCCAUCUAAAGCUAAAUAUUGGCGAGAAACCGAUAGCGCACAAGUACCGUGAGGGAAAGAUGAAAAGAACUUUGAAAAGAGAGUUAAACAGUACGUGAAAUUGUUGAAAGGGAAACGCUUGAAGUCAGUCGUAUCCUUCAGAAUCGACCCUUACUUUGGUUGGGCAUACUUUUUGUUGGAUGGGUCAGCAUCAAUUUUGAUCAUUGGAUAAAGGACUUGGGAAUGUGGCAUCUUUAGAUGUGUUAUAGCCCUUGUUUGUAUACAAUGAUUGGGAUUGAGGAACUCAGUGUGACUUUGGUCUGGGGGUAUUACCUCACACACGCACUUAGGAUGCUGGCAUAAUGGCUUUAAUUGA
rnacentral:rRNA from 1 species